rnacentral:tRNA from 2 species
GACUCCGUAGCUCAGCUGGUAGAGCAAUUGACUCUUAAUCAAUGGGUCGUGGGUUCGAGUCCCACCGGGGUCA